GGGGCUGAUACUGAAAAGGAUAAAGCAGGAAUGAACGUCAGAGUGUUUGCUGGACUAGCGGGAGUAGCAGCCAGUCCCAUCGCAGGAGGGUGUGACCAGCACAAGAGCUCUGAAAUGAAUCCUUUUUCACAUCGAGGUUUGAGUAGAUCAGGGUUUUUGGAGCUGAUGCUGAAAAAGAUAAAGCAGGAAUGAAGAAGUGAUCUUCAGAGGUGAGCACAGAGCUGCACUUAUACUCUAAAUAAAUAUCUCACUUUGACUAAAAUAAACUGUGGGAAAACAUCAAGUCAAACU